ACAACAUCACAAUUUCAAUAAAAGCAUGUGAGCACAUUGUAUUUAUGGACAGUGAAUAGGCUAGGGAAUCUAUAUGCCUACAGCAUUCGGGUUGAACCUGAACUUCAUUAACCCCUGAAUAACGUACGCUGUGGGCAUGCUGUCCAGAUCUUGCUCUCCGGGUUUACAAGUGAGUGGGUGUGGGUUUAAAUAUCUAAUGGAGAAAAGGCAUUGCAGAAUCUCUCAUCGGACGAGAAUAGCAUCGUUGUGUCCACCGCCCCCACCCCACAACACCCCACCUAACGGAUUUUUAAAAAGAGGUUCUUUUUCGCUUCGGCAGCCAACACUCCGGGUUUGUCUUGACUCAGCCCAAAUCGCCAACAAAUACCGAUUCCGUCCAACAUGUUCAUGGGAUGCAUUUCUUUCAAAUCUUUGGUUGGUCAGGGUGACUGGCUUCAAUAGUGGAUGACCUUGUCGGAUGACCCAUCUGUCGUACUGGGCCGAUACGGGAGAGGUGAGACAGCUAUGCAGAGCCUGAACACUCUGAUUUCCACCUCCGCAGAUGGUGGGUCACCUUAAGUAAAGACAAACACAGAGGUCAAAGAACACGUCUCUGUGAUCACUUGCUAUUAGUUGGAUUUGUCACCCUUAAGGCACCCAGGUAAGGAAUUUUAAACUUGAUUCAUAGUCGCUUAGGAUAAAAGUGUCACAACUUUAAACUUUGUAAAUCAGCUAUAGGUCACACAGAGAGAAGAGCAACAGGGUAGUGUGGCGGCAGGUAAAAGCCAUUCUACAGGUCAGUCUUUUUUUGGAUUAUUUUUUGCCUGGCAAUUCUAUGUCGGUCCAAACCCUUGAAUGUAUCUGAAAAAAAUGCUUUGCAUAUUGGUUUAGUAUGCUACUGUUAGAUAUGUUUUGUGCCAUGAUUUGGUGAAUAUGAUAAUAGUAACUGUGUAACACUUUGGACCAUUUGCAUUCCCCCAACAACUGUGUUAUAUAAAUACAUACUGCAUGCAAUGUAAGGGAUAAGAUGUACAAUUUGCAGAACAACUGCAUAUAUUUCUGGGGAGAGAAAUCUUAUUUUGCUACUUAUUGGACUGUCACACAGUCCCACAUUGUCUCCACAACAGUUACUAAUUAAAUGACCAUAUUGCAUGCCCAUAAGUAGGUGUGUCUGUGUCAUAAGCCAGGGAGUCAGUGUGUUACAGCCACUUGGUUACCCCUGAAUACUCAACUUAAUUGGGUGUAUAUCUUAAGCACAGACAUUUCUCCUUCUAAUUAAAGAUUCAUGUCAGAGGCAAGACUACAUGUUAUUAAUAAAUUAUAUGACUUGAAAUCACACAAUUUACAGAAUACUUGGUGGAAAAAAAAUCUUUCAGAUUUUUGUUCAUUUCUUUCCAUUGAUUGGGACUUUUUAGAGAAGACUAUUCAUCUUGUUUUUUGGACAAAAAAGUGUUUAUGAGUCCACUAAUGUGAGUGUAACAGUAUGUAAAAUGUGGUGUUAUAUUUGCAUAAUGAUGAUACUGUGUGCAAUUACUUAACAUUCACAUCAGUUCAUUCAGACAUUCAUCACUGAAGGAAUCAGAGUAAUGGCCUUCACAUUUAAAUCAAGUAGCAUUUGCUUUACAUGGACAAAAUCAUAUUUCAUGACCAAAAUAACAAAGAAACUCCAUUAAUUAUUGUCUUAAGUACAGAUUAAUAAGAAUUAAUGAGUGGCCUGACAUUUUGUAUACAAAAAAAGUGAAAGGGCUAAGAAUCCUAAAAUGUGCAUUUUUCUUAAUGAUUUGGGCAUAUCUCACAUAUACCUAAGUUUUUGUUAUUUGGAUGAUAAAAUGAAAUAUUAAGUAUAUUUUCUGCUUGAGUCAACGGUCUUUGAUAUUUUAAAAAGAAAUAGCAUGACUAAUCGCCUAAAGAGAUAUUAAGCAGUAUGCCAGAAAGUGUGUAAUGAUAUACCAUUAUAAUGAUGUCUGUAUUCGUCAAAGUCUUUGACUUACUACGGUUC